AGUGAACGCUGGCGGCGUGCUUAACACAUGCAAGUCGAACGAGAACGGAAUAUAGCUUGCUAUAUUUGUCAGCUAAGUGGCGCACGGGUGAGUAAUGUAUAGAUAACCUGCCCUUAAGAAAGGAAUAACAGUUGGAAACGACUGCUAAUGCCCUAUAUGCCUUUAAUACAUAAGUAUGCAAGGGAAACGCUUUAGUGCUUAAGGAUGGGUCUGUCUGGUAUCAGCUUGUUGGUGAGGUAAUGGCCCACCAAGGCUAUGAAGCCUAACUGGUUUGAGAGGAGGAACAGUCACACUGGAACUGAGACAAGGUCCAGAAUCCUACGGGAGGCAGCAGUGGGGAAUAUUGCACAAUGAACGAAAGUCUGAUGCAGCAACGCCGCGUGGAGGAUGACACAUUUCGGUGCGUAAACUCCUUUUAUAUAGGAAGAUAAUGACGGUACUAUAUGAAUAAGCCCCGGCUAACUCCGUGCCAGCCGCCGCCGUAA
rnacentral:rRNA from 1 species